rnacentral:rRNA from 1 species
GGCUCUUUGGUAAUGUAGAUAAAGAGUCGGACCUGCCCAGUGAAAUUUUUAACGGCCGCGGUACUCUGACCGUGCAAAGGUAGCAUAAUCAUUUGCCUUAUAAUUGAAGGCUUGUAUGAAUGGUUUGACAAGAAUAUAGCUGUCUCUAUACGAUUUUGUAGAAUUUUAUUUUGAAGUGAAGAAGCUUGAAUAAAAUUGAUAGACAAGAAGACCCUAUCGAGCUUGAAAAAAGAUUAUAGAUGUUUUAAAAUAUAUCUAAAAAAUUAUCUGUGAUAAAUUUUGGUUGGGGCGACUUAGGAACAAAUUAAGCUUCCUAAAUUUACUUAAUAUAGACAAAAUGAUCCAAAAAAUUUUGAUUAAUGAAAUUAGUUACCGUAGGGAUAACAGCAUUAUCUUCUUUAAGAGUUCUUAUCGAAAAGAGGGUUUGUGACCUCGAUGUUGGACCAGAAUAUCCUAAAGAUGCAGCAGUCUUUAAGGGUUGGUCUGUUCGACCAUUAAAAUUCUACGUGAUCUGAGUUCAGACCGGCGUGAGCCAGGUCAGUUUCUAUCUUUAAUUUAAAUUAUAAAUUUAGUACGAAAGGACCAAUUUAUUAUAAUUUGUUGUGCUGGAAGAUACAAUUUAAUGAAGGUUAUUAUCAAAUUAGCAAAAUGAAUGCAAUUGACUUAGGAUCAAUAGAUAUAGGUGAAAUUCCUUUAUUUGAUAAUAAAGAUGGCAGAUGAA